rnacentral:rRNA from 2 species
AAAAUUAGAGUGUUCAAAGCAGGCAGAUCCAAUUUUCUGCCACCGAAUACAUUAGCAUGGGAUAAUGGAAUAGGACCCUGUCCUCCUAUUUUCAGUUGGUUUUGGCAGCGCGAGGACUAGGGUAAUGAUUAAUAGGGAUAGUUGGGGGCAUUAAUAUUUAAUUGUCAGAGGUGAAAUUCUUGGAUUUAUGAAAGAUUAACUUCUGCGAAAGCAUCUGCCAAGGAUGUUUUCAUUAAUCAAGAACGAAAGUUAGGGGAUCGAAGACGAUCAGAUACCGUCGUAGUCUUAACCAUAAACGAUGCCGACCAGCGAUUAGGAGACGUUGAAUACAAAACACCACCAUCGGUGCGGUCGUCCUUGGCGUCUCGGUUUCGGCCGGGGUGCGGGGACGGCUUAGCCCGGUGGCACCGGUGAA